rnacentral:rRNA from 1 species
UGAAUACGAGAUGCUACGGCGUCGAAGCAGUGUAUGUCAGACUUCCAAGGAAAGCUCGCAAUGUCAUAAAUAAAGAAUGCCUGUACCAUAACCGACACAGGUGGGUAGGUAGAGUAAACUAAGGGGCGCGAGAUAACUCUCUCUAAGGAACUCGGCAAAAUAACUCCGUAACUUCGGGAGAAGGAGUGCCUUCUUUAAGAAGGUUGCAAUAACAAGAUCCAAGCAACUGUUUAUCAAAAACACAGGUCUCCGCUAAGUCGUAAGACGAUGUAUGGGGGCUGACGCCUGCCCAGUGCCAGAAGGUUAAAGAAGUUGGUUAGCUUUUGCGAAGCUGAUGACUGAAGCCCUGGUGAACGGCGGCCGUAACUAUAACGGUCCUAAGGUAGCGAAAUUCCUUGUCGGGUAAGUUCCGACCCGCACGAAAGGCGUAAUGAUUUGGAUACUGUCUCGGAGAGGGACUCGGUGAAAUAGACUUGUCUGUGAAGAUGCGGACUACCUGCACCAGGACAGAAAGACCCUAUGAAGCUUUACUGUAACUUGAAAUUGAAAUUGGACUUUAUUUGCGCAGUAUAGGUGGAAGGCGUUGAAAGUAAUCUUGCGGGAUUAGUGGAGCCAUCAGUGAGAUACCACUCCUAUAAUGUUAGAUUUCUAACUUUGGAUCAUGAUCUGGUCAAAGAACAGUUUCAGGCGGGCAGUUUGACUGGGGCGGUCGCCUCCCAAAUGGUAACGGAGGCGUACAAAGGUUUCCUCUGAACGGGUAGAAAUCGUAUCUAGAGUGUAAAGGCAUAAGGAAGCUUGACUGUGAGACCUACAAGUCGAGCAUGGACGAAAGUCGGUCUUAGUGAUCUGACGGUGCUGAGUGGAAAGGCCGUCACUCAACGGAUAAAAGUUACUCUAAGGAUAACAGGCUGAUCUCCCCCAAGAGUUCACAUCGACGGGGAGGUUUGGCACCUCGAUGUCGGCCCAUCGCAUCCUGGGGCGGUAGUACGUCCCAAGGGUUGGGCUGUUCGCCCAUGAAAGCGGUACGCGAGCUGGGUUCAGAACGUCGUGAGACAGUUCGGUCCAUAUCCGGUGUAGGCGUUAGAAUAUUGAGAGGAGCCUUCUUUAGUACGAGAGGACCGAGAAGGACAUACCUCUGGUGUACCAGUUAUCGUGCCAACGGUAAACGCUGGGUAGCUAUGUAUGGAGAGGAUAACCGCUGAAAGCAUCUAAGUGGGAAGCCCACCUCAAGAUGAG